rnacentral:lncRNA from 1 species
UAACGAGGCCGGCUGCGCUAAGGAGGCAACGACUCCCAGGUGCCGCGGGGCCGCGGCCGGCCGGGCGCAGCUGCGCCUCGUCGGGAGCCGCGGGCGGGGCCCGCCCCAAAGCCUCUUAAGCUCCUCCGGAGGCUGCCGGGAGCCACGGGGGAGUUUCUGCGGUUCUGUAUGGCAGACGGAGUGAGUUCUGUUUCUUUGUCGGGCCCUGGUGCUGCUGAGGCUGAGAAGCGGCUGCUGUGAGCCCUUUUGCGGUAAGGACCAGCCCAAACAGCGGGUGCUUCAGUUCUUCAGGCUCUCCUCGGCUGAGCGAGGGCUGUAGCAGAGCCUCUCAUCGCUCCGAAGCAGGCAGCUCGUGGAAGCGGGGAGUGUUUGAGAGUCGCUCGGUAAGAUCUCCCCUGCUGGGGCUCCUGUAGGGUUGCUGCCCGACUGCCUCCGUAUCUUUGGGAUCGGCACGGCGCCGCCGCUGGGGGCUCCCGUGUGGCUUUUUAGUAGGACCGGCACGGGGCCUCCGCCCGAGACCGAGCACGAUCCCGGGGUGGCCUCGGCCACUGCGGAGUGUUUUGCGGGUGCUCUCACCCAUCCCGUUUCCAGCGGUGGGAGCGAGCAGGUUGGGACCGUGGUUUUAUUUUUUUUUUUUUUUCCCCGCCUCUUCCUUCCCGUGUAACUGCAGGAGCACGAUUUAGGUUCCCACCGUGGAGACCUGGCAGGGCAGCUCGCACGACUGGAGUGCUGUCGUGGAUGGCUCUGUUCCUUUUAGGAAAGGCAGACCGGUCAGGCGGUGGAGUCUCUUUUCGAGGGAGAGAACGGGAACGUAUCGAGCUCCACCUAGGGAUGACUGAAGAACCAGCGGAGCGUUUGUGCGUGAGGCUGAAGAGGCAGCUGGAAAUGGUGCCCACAGCUGUGAGGCUAGUUCUCAUGGUAGGCUCCAGGAGUUUCCUGCAAUGUGUCAAAGAAGAGCCAUCUGGGGACAGGAAGGCCAGGGGCAGCCUGGAGCGUGCCAGUCGUGAGACCACAGCGUUUGGGAUCUUGUGUGGAAGCUGCAAAGCAAUGAGUAGGAUUGAAACACUGGACUUAGAGGGAGCCAGGUUUGUCCUCUUGAAGGGCCUACUUGGAGGUAACCCUUGCUCAAGCAUAGGAAGGGGUCCUGUGAAUGCUGGAGCAUUACUUUGUCCAUGCUGAGGUGCGCUGCGUCCCAAGGAGGAAGGAAGUGCGCAGGAAUGGUGGGGGACCUGCAGGGCUGACUGAGGAACUUGAAGGGGAGAAGGAAGAGAGAGGCUGAGGAAGGCCAAGUCCCUCUGAGUAUCAGCUUUGGGAGGGAGGUCAAGGCUAAUGGAAGUUUGUCAACAGGAGAGACUGGAGAAAUUGCAGGCCUGUGCUUCACAAGGCAAGGGCCUGAGUAAUGGAGGAUGGAGGACAUGCUGGAUGCCUGUUUUGGUUUCAGUGGUUUCUGCUGAGAGUGCUCCUGGGGUCCUGGAGGAGAGAGUCUCAGAGGAAGGCUGCCUUCCCCUCAGUUGCAGAGGAGCUGGUCAAAAGUGGUUCAGGCAGAAAGGAGGCCAGCAAAUGCCUGAGCUGUAGAGGGCUAUGCCUGUGCCCGCUGAGAGCUGGCAGCGGUGACCGGCAAAUGGCGCUCUCUGUCACUUUUCCCUGCUGUUUCCUGUGGGGAAAGGUACCUGAAGACUGGAGGAUGGCGGAUGCCACCGCAGCCUUCAGAAAGGGUGUGGAGGAUGGCGUGUGCAACUUGGAGGUAGGUUGGCCUCACCUCUGUUCCUGGGGAGGUGACGUAACAGCUUGUUGCAGGUGUCAUUGCCAUGUGACCGGAAGAGAAGGAAUUUGCAAGGAGCAGUCCAGGUGGAUGGACAGAGGGGAAGUCAUGCCGGACCAAAAGGGCGAGGGCUGCAGCGGAGAGCUUUGCCGAGAGGAUUGGCUGGAGCAGGUGUGCGGUUUCCCCAGCAGUGGGAUGAAGGAGGUGAGAGAGGGGGACCCCCAGGCGCGCCCCCUUGGAGGUGGUUUGUGGAGGUCUCCGUGCAGGUUCAGGCCGGAGGCAGGAUCCUGGUGGUGUGAGCGGGGUGCCCCUGUGGAGCAAGGGUGGAAGGUGCGUGGCAGGCCCUGUCCCGGAGGAGUGGAGUUGAUGGAGCGUGGCCCUUUGAUGCUGGAGUGAGGGGUCCUGGUGGGGCUGAAGUCCUGCGUGGAAGAGGGAGAUCCCAGGCGCUGCGAUGCGGAGGAGGAGCGGAGCCAGCGGUGGCUCCUGUGUGGUGAUGGCUGCUUAGUGGUGGUGUUCCCGGUCCUGGGCUGAAAGGAGGAGGAGGAGAAAGCUUUUAGUGUGUUACUUCAAAGCUCAGGCUUGGAUGACCUUGCUGAGGCUGAACAAGAGUACAAAACCUGUGAGUUAAAUGGGUGGAACAAAACUACAGCUGCUGCACCUUACCGGGCCGAGAGUCGUGACCUGAUCUUCCAUCUUUUACACAAAACGAGUCAGAUCUUCAGCUUGCUGCCACGAGUAACUCACACAUUCUCCAAUUCCUCGUAUGGAAAGAAGGUUUUCUUCUAAGGGAUUAUUCCAAUGCGUAAAAUCGGUGAAUUCACCUGUACAGUAAUGAAAUACUUUCAAUAAUUUCAUGCAAAACUUUCUUUAAGCAGUGCCUUGGGUCAGUCUUUCCAUGUGAGAGCUGCAUCAGUAAAAGUUCUCCUUUCGGUCCAUUUCUGACUUAUUUUUUAUAAUUUAGUUUAAAAGUUCAAGUCAUCCAACCAAAGCUGUGACAACAGGAAUAACAGGCUCGUGGUAUAACAGCAGUAGGAUUUAGGCACCUGUGGAGGGAGAAACACUGAAGAUUUCACCGUGGGUUCAGGGUGGGCCAAACAUUAAAAUCCCUUUCUUGGUUUAAGAUCAGAAUGCACCUUCGUGGGAUUCAUUUCUUCCUUACAUCUCAGUAACCAAGUAUGCAUUGAGUGACCUACACCUUUAAGGGGGAAAAUGGUCUCAGUCAAGCGCUGGAUGAAUAUAAAUAGUAAUAAUAAAAGCCUAUCAGUAAGGAAAAGCUGAGCAUUCUUUUUGAAUGCAAACAUAAUAAUUAAUAAUAAUCAUAAUCAUAAUCUGUGGCACAGGACCCAAAGAGACCUUUUCCUCACAGUUUCACACAGCAGUUCUCUCAUCAGCUCUGAAACCAUCUACCUCUGCAACUCAGAAAGCUUUCUUUUUUUCUUUUCCUGAAAGUUCAAGGAUACGUUAUCCAUUUUCUGGGCAAGUUUAGAACUUUGGGUCUCACUUCUGCAUACACGGAAUCUUCUCUAAAGUCACUAAGACAGAACAAAACCCGAGACCCUCUUUGGACUGCAAAUCCAGAAGCAUUCGACCCUGCGGUUCUGCCAAGCAGUGUGAAACACCGUAUUUGUAUCCGCCUCACGCAGCUCCCGCCCGAGUUUUUUCUCCGCGCUGAGCAUCAGUCUGCAGUCCUCGGUAAUUCCGGUAGAGGGCAAUACAAUAAAGCCAUUCAUAGAGGGCUCUCCGAGGCAGCUGCCGUAACUGGCUCCCACAGAACGCCUCAGGCUUUCUUCUUGUUCUGGAUUGGUGUGCUAAUGCCAAAUAUUUACAAUUGAAUCUUUUUUUGAUCCCGGGAACGCUCAUACUGCUUAUUUCUUCUUUGACAGCACAAACGCACGGGCGCGUUCUCAGUGCCUGAAAACAUCUCUAUGCAAAAAUCAAGAUAUAACUCUCUUUGCUACCACUUUUUUUUUUUGUCUCAUCCUCAGCCAUCCGUUUGAAUGUAAACGUUACAGUAUACCUCACAUCCGUAAGGAGUCUUUACAUUCAGGUGUAGUUUUAAAAAGUCUCAUAGGAACCUCUUGCAGUCGAUUAAUGGGCACAUCGGAAGCAAAUCAACUGGAAGUACGGGAUGAGUGUUAUUUAAUUCUCCCUAGGGCUUUGCUAUUCACACACUCCUCUGUGCAGGUAGAUAUUCACGUGCGUAUGAAAGGAAAACUCACCUUCAAGGCGUAACAAAGGGAAACCCGCACUGGGAUCAUUCGUAGGAAAGCAUCAUUUCACAGUACAUAGGUUUAUGGAUUGUGAGAGAUAGUGAUGCAUUUGUAAGGAUGAUCCCUACGAUAAGGUUCUGUGGUUUUAUUUUCUCAAGUCUAGACGUAUUUAGUCAAUAAUGAUUUCUUCAAAAGAUAGCCACAUCUCCAAGACAAGAACAGAACGGCCACGUGGCAGAUUUCACACAACCUCACAACAGUACCAUGAACUAUACGGGAGUUUCAUAAUUCAUGAAGGAACAAUAUUCCCUCCCGGGCACUAAAACUAGUCCAGAUAACACCAAGAACAGCUGAAAAGCCGGACAGUGUGAUUUCCCCUCUCCUCAAGUAUAGAGAGACACAAGUAUGAAACAGCUGGAAAACAUAUUCAAAGGAUGACAGGCACCACGUCACAGCAGAAGUGCCAGGUAAGCUCAGCGCAAAACAGUCCCUUUACUUCUUUCAUUCUUUCUUUCAUUUGUGACCAGAUUCAUGAGUGGAUGGAAAUGCUUGACAAAGUGAUAAUGAAUCUCUCUGAACGUUUACAUGGUUCCCAUCAGUGCAAAGACUCACCCAGUGCUAAAAGUAAUUCACUACAGUGUGUAAAAAAAAUAAACAAAUC